CAACCCUCAAGCCCCCGGGCUUGGUGUUGGGGAUCGGCCGCCCUCCCCCGGGCGUGCCGGCUCCGAAAUCUAGUGGCGGUCUCGCUGUAGCCUCCUCUGCGUAGUAGCACACCUCGCACUGGAACGCGGCCUGGCCACGCCGUCUAAACCCCCCACUUCUGAAGG
rnacentral:misc_RNA from 1 species